GACUAACGCCGGCGGCGUGCCUAACACAUGCAAGUCGAACGAGAGUAGCAAUACUCUAGUGGCAGAUGGGUGAGUAACACGUGGUCAACCUACCUUUAAGUGGGGGAUAACUAGCCGAAAGGUUAGCUAAUACCGCAUACGAUCUUCGAGUGGCAUCACAUGAAGAUGAAAGGAGCAAUCCGCUGAAAGACGGGACCGCG
rnacentral:rRNA from 1 species